CUCAGCAGUCCACGGCCACGCGCUGGAAGUGCAGCCGGAGAGGACACAGGCACUUCAGCAGAGGAGCCUGUGAACAGGGCCUCGCGGGGGCCGCGGGUUUUGAUCAACCUCCUGCGCCAGUGGGAUGGCACAGCCCCGCCCAGGGGCCUCCUGGCUCACAGCCUGCUCAGAGGAUGGGGCUGCCUGGGUGCACGGAAGGAGGCAGAGGGCCAGCCUGGGGGGCCCUAGGGGACCCAGUGUCAUCCCGGAGGGCACAUUUCAGGGCCCUCCAGGGCUCCUCCAGGAGCAGAGGCUGUGUAGUCCCUGACUGUCCCUGUAGGCAGUUCCAGAAACUCUGUCUCUAGGUGACAUUCCUCAGUGCCCCGGGGCCCGGGAGCAGCCCCUUCCCACGUGUGUUCCCACAGCUGCAGGGUGUUUAAAUUGGGCCCCACUGUCCACUGAACAGCUGAAUCUUGGAAACUAUUAAAAGAAAUACAUCACACGGUAGCUUGGAAGUACUGCUGUGCCUCUGGGCGUCACUCAGACUCUUAUUAACGUGUAAUGCCUGGUCUUGAGCACAGCCAACGACUGUCAAGAGAUCAAGGAGGGACAGGAAGGCACAAAGGGGUCAAAGGACGUGGCGCCCUGGGCAGGGAAGGCCGAGCAGAGAGUCAGCUGGGCGGAGAAGGUGAAGACGCACAUGGGCCGGCCGUUCCCCCGCAGAGAUCACUUUGGGGACAGAAAGGAGGCUCCCAACGCCCCCCGCCCCCCGCCCCGCUGCCGCCAUGAAGACUGGAGCCAAGUAGGGCUGCUCCAGGGGGCUCCCUUCCCCCAUUGCCCAUCCACCACUCCGAUGAGCAGCCAGCUGUGUGUGCCACCCCCGGAGCUGCCCUGAGCCACUCUGAGACCAGGAUGGAGCAUGUGAUGCAGGGACAAGCAGGAGCUGCUUCCGGGGAGCAGUGGUCAGACACCCAGGCCGGCCUUAGCCAGAGGCUGGCCAGGGGACCAGGAAUGCACCGCGCAGGUGUGCGGGCGGCUUCUCGCCAGGUGAUGGAGAGCCCGGCCGGCUGGGCUUAUUUAUUACAGAAGGCCUGGACCCACCGGAGAGCAGACACUGGUACAGCCUGAGCAAGGGGGACAGGCCCUGGUCCCCAAGAGCCUACACUCAGUACCCAGUGAGCACACAGGUGUGGCCACGUGUGGAUGUACAGUUUGCACUCCGUGUUUCACCCUCACAACGGCAGGAGCCACCUAUGGUCGGUUCUGCUGGACACAGGAAGAAGCUUAGAUUCAGCGAGGCAGGGCGGGCAGGCAGCCGGAGUGUCAGCUGCCUUCCUUUACCCCAGCCUGCGCCUGAAGCAGGAGUCGGCCGCGGUCCUGGUGCCCCAACGCAAGUCCCAGACCCCCUACGUCAGGGUCGCCCGGGGAGCUCCUUAGACCUGCAGGUCCCAUCCCAGCCUUGCUGGAGGAGAUGUUCAGGAUGGGGCUGAGGCGGGCUCCCUGCCGGGUGCCCCGCUGGCCGCAGCUGGGUGUGGCCAGUGCGUUCCCAGGAUGCCCUGUGGCUCACGUUCAACCUCCGAUGGCCGAUGAUACUCAUUUCAGGUUUUUUUUUCAAAGAGGCUUCAAAGGAGGAGCAGCAAGUUCAGAAAGAAGGCUGCUUUUUGAGCUGAAACGGAUUCACGGAGAGAAGUUCUCCAGGCAGUGAGCAGGCAAAUGCUGGCCCCCUGCUUUCUGUGCCGUGUGGCCCUUCCAAGCGGACGUGUUAUGUGCCAACGUGCAGACAGGAGAGCCGGGCACCCCGGGCCCAAAACAGAGGCUGUGGAACCGCAGCCCCACUUCCGUCCGGGACAAUUGCGGGGGCGUUUAACUCUGCUCGGAGUUUCUGUGUCAUCGGGGUUCCUUAGUCUGCGGUGGUGGGAAAGCCCAGUGGCCCACAGGCUUAAAUCAUGAGGAAAUGUACUCUGUCCUAUCACAAGGGCUCAGAGUCAGUCUCUGGAGGUCGUCUUAGAUACCUUUUUAACUGAAGCAUAACUACUCCAAAAACGUGCUCAAAUCGUGGAGACAGAGCUCGGUGCCUCCUCAGAGUGGACCUUCCUGGAUCAUCCAGUCCAGAUCGGAAGGUUGAGAAAAGACUCUCCUUAGUCCAACCUGUAAAAAGAAGAAAAGGGCUGGGCUAAGCCGCAUUUUGUUGACAACUGUCGAGUGAUAGGAAACUGCGUACCCGUGGGUCUGGAACUUCCUAGAGCUCCAUCCUUACAGAGAGGUCGCUCUCUAGUCAAUGCUCUUCUGGGGGUUCGUUUUUCUAAAAGUGAAACGUAGGAGUUCCCCGGUGGUGCAGCAGAGGAGAGACCCAGCAUUGUCACUGUAGCGGCCUGGGUCCUGCUGUGGUGAGGUUUCAAUCCCUGGCCCUGAAAGUUCCAUCUGCCUCAGGUGCAGCCAAAAAAAUAAAAAUUUUUGAAAAGUGA
ensembl:lncRNA